UACGUAGGGGGCAAGCGUUGUCCGGAAUCAUUGGGCGUAAAGCGCGUGUAGGCGGCUUCGUAAGUCCGUUGUGAAAGUCCAGGGCUCAACCCUGGAAUGCCGAUGGAUACUGCGGAGCUAGAGUCCGGAAGAGGCGAGUGGAAUUCCUGGUGUAGCGGUGAAAUGCGCAGAUAUCAGGAGGAACACCAAUGGCGAAGGCAGCUCGCUGGGACGGUACUGACGCUGAGACGCGAAAGCAUGGGGAGCGAACAGG
rnacentral:rRNA from 1 species